rnacentral:rRNA from 1 species
AUUGAACGCUGGCGGCAGGCCUAACACAUGCAAGUCGAGCGAGCGGCGGACGGGUGAGUAAUGUCUGGGAAACUGCCUGAUGGAGGGGGAUAACUACUGGAAACGGUAGCUAAUACCGCAUACCAUCAGAUGUGCCCAGAUGGGAUUAGCUAGUAGGUGGGGUAACGGCUCACCUAGGCGACGAUCCCUAGCUGGUCUGAGAGGAUGACCAGCCACACUGGAACUGAGACACGGUCCAGACUCCUACGGGAGGCAGCAGGGGGGAAGAUUGCACAAUGGGCGCAAGCCUGAGGCAGCCAUGCAGCGUGGGGGAAGAAGGCAGUCGGGUUGUAAAGCACUUUAAGCGUGGAGGCGUUACCCGCAGAAGAAGCACCGGCUAACUGCGUGGCAGCAGCCGCGGUAAUUA